CUUGAUUGGAUCUGAGAUCACCUUGUUUAUAUUUCUAGGAUAUUAGUUUGUUACAAAUCAUCUAUCUUCUUGUUUGCUUAGAUUAGGAAGGUUUGUGUAUUCUUGGUGUUAUAAGUCUCUAGUUCUCUGUGGAUUCGAUCCUAAAAUGCUACAAUGACAUACCAUUCGAUUGUGGUAUUGUUGGCACAUUAGGUUAAUUGGUGUGUGCUUAAACGCUUAAUCAAUCCUGUGGAAAAAGAUCACGCUCGGCCUGGAAUGUCAAAGGAGAAGGAUUUUGGAGAGCUUGUACCUGCGCACACUGAAGCAAAUGGUUAGCAUCACUCACUCUCUCUUGAAUUUGUGAAAAAUUCUCUCUGUUUAGUUGUCUUAGAUCUUGUUUUAUCAGUUUCAAUUUCCAUCACAGCUGAGUAAGGGUUUGGCAUGCAGAACCGGCUUGGAACCACACAUCGUUAAUUAGCUGCGAAAACUUUGGGUGUUUUGUCAGGUAGUUUUGGAAUUUGAAGGGCUGAGUUCCAGCUUUUGGUAGGGAGAAAGCUAAGUCUAGGAUACAAGGAGCAUGGUCAGAGAUGAGGGGAGGGAGGAAGGAGGCUAGGGCAUUAGGGAAAGUUGCGACAAUAUAGGGGUUGACAAGGAGGCGAUCGAGUUUCUUUGAGAUAGGGUUUGAGGGUUGGCUAUUUGUCCAGGUGUGAGCAGGACCUAUGAAGCGCAAAUCAAAGACUCCAAGUUGGAGUAGACAGUCUUGGAGCUGAUACAUGAGGCUGUCUGGAGUAUUAAGGUGGCCAUUUGAGUGUUCAGAAAGCCUGAGAAUCUGAUUGAAGUCACCACCCAAAACCCAGCAGCAGUUUUCUAAAUCAAGGUAGGACUGGAGUUGUAUGAGCUCUGCCCAGAGGUCAACUCGAUCAGCACUUAGAUUUGAGGCGUAUAUGGCAGAGUAGAUGAUGGGCGCUUGGUUUGGGAAAACAAUCUUGCAAGUGAUGCAUUGGUUAGAUUGAGCAAGGAUUUGGACCUUUAGGGAGUCUCUCCAAAUUAAAAGGAUUCGCCAUCAGGUUCAGAGGAGUGAUUGGAAGUGAAGCACCAUCCUGGGCAAAGGCUAGAUAAGAUAGUGUUUAGAGAAGGUUCUUUAACAUGUGAUUCAAGAAUAGCACCAAAAAGGGGUCUAUGAGUAUUAAACCAAGAAAUAAAAGGUCCGUGUUUAGUUGGUUCAUUAAGUCCCCGAACAUUCCAAAAAAAGAGUUUUACACUCAUUAAGAAAUGUUGAUUUGCUCUCCCGAAAGAAUAGGAGAGACUGGAAAAACAUAAGAAGAAGUUGUAGUAGGAUCAGGGGCAGAGGGGAGAGGAGGAGGAAGAGUAAGGGAAAGGGUCUGGUUGAAGGGUCGGGGGUUUAAGACAUCAAGCGAGGGGGAGUUCGUGAAGGGAAACAAAGGGUUUUAAGAGGUUUUUGAAGGGGUUUUAAAUUGGUGAAAAGGUGUAGGCUGGGAAGUUAAAGGCGGGGACAGGGUGGGUGAGGAGCGAGAUCGUUUUAAGGAGGGUCUAGGGGGAGGAUCAGGAGAUAAGAAAGGGUUGGAUGAGGGUGGGAGAGAAAGAAGUUGGGAACCAGCAAAACGACCACUGGACAUCACUAUCUGAGGGGUCCCUUCGUUAGAGGCCAGAGAAACAAAGUUGUUGAUCAGAUUAAUAUUAGGAGACUCUGAUCCCAUUGGUACUGGAUUUUGAGCAGCAGCCUUUGAAGGUAACUGAUAUUUUCUUACAUAGGUACUUUGUUUGGGUUUAACUACACUCUGGUACUUCUUGUUAUGCUUGACAGGUUCAGGGUUUUUCUUUCCCUGGUCAGCAGUGGAGUCCUCAGCUGGAGAGGUAUAGAGAAGGCAAUUCCGCACAAUAUGACCAAGUUCAUGGCAGUGAGAGCAUGUGGGUGGAACCCAAAGAUAAUGGACAGAGACUUCAACCACCUCUCCACUUUGGCGUUCAAAUUCAACAACAGAGGGUAGUGGUUUAGUUAGGUCGACCUCAACCUUCACAUGAGCCAGAGUUAAGCUUACAAGGUUCAACGUAAAAUCGUCUGUCUCUUUGGGGUCUCCAACUAGUCCAGCAACUAAGCUAAGACCCUCUUUGUAGCGCAGGUCUAGCGGUACACCCGUGAGGUGAGCCCAGAUCUUGAUUGCUUUCAAAGGUGGAGUAUUCUUUGAGUGGACAGAGGACCAAAGAGCAGUGUGGAACAUGGAGUCUCCUACAUACCAUAUGUUCUUCUCCAAGAUCUUCUGUCUAAGGUAAUCACUCUGUAUACGUACUAGAACCGUUCUGUUGACAGGAUUGUUGUGAAUUUCCAAACGUUUCCCUUUUCCCCACAGGUGGUUGAAAACGCUUUGUGUCUGGCUAAAGGGCAGAUCUUUACCAUUAAAGUAGCAGAUGAUGAAGUCCUUAUGGAUAUCAGCACCUUUUUGGAAAACUGAAUCUGGAAUAAGCACCCUUGGUCUGCCUGAGGGGGCUAUGGUAACAGGGGCUAGUCUCUGAAGAGAUUUGUCCUCAGAGAGGCGAAGUCUUUCGACUAGAGUUUGACGCACUGGUUGGGAAGAGGGUUUGGGAAGGGGAGCAGAGGAAGUGGCUAAAGGCGGAGGAGAUGAAGAGACAUGUUCAAUAGGGUUGAGCUCAGAGGUAGUUGAUGCCAAAGGGGAAGUUGGGUGAGAAGAGGCCUUGUUUGUGAAAAUGGGGGAGUUUUUUGGUGGGAUAUUUUUUAGGGUUUCAGAAAUGUUAGGUUCAGAUCCAGAGUGUGGAACAGUUACUUUCUCAGAUUCAGGAAUUGGACCAGUUUAGUUUUCCAGCCCCUCUUUUGGUAUGGAGGAGAUUGUACCAAAUUGAGGGAGAGCUGAGUUCAGAGAAUCAACCGGUGCCAUAGUGACAUCAGUAGUAGAGAGAGCGUACUUAGAUCCCUUACGUACUGUAGAAGGACCAGUGGAAAUUGGAGCAGAAGGUGGAGAGGAUAGUGGUGGAAAGUGUUGGGGAGAGAGGGAUGACGAGCUGUCUGGAGGAUCAGGUGGGAUUGGCGGGGGGAGGAGAGGUUCGCCAGCAGCAAACGACGGUGGUUUCAGGCCGGUUAAACGGCCAGGGACCUGCCAAGGGUUUUGCAUUGGGAGCUGUGUCAGGGAGAAACUGACUAUCUAGUCCCAAUGUUAUUUGUUAUUUUUUUAAAGCAUACAUUUUCAUCUAGUAGAAAAAAGAUUAAUAACUUUAUUGUCUUGCUUAGAAUUCUUUUUGCUAUCCAGAGACACGAAUGAUCCUACCUAUUAUCAUUUGAAUAUGUUCCAAAAUUUUGUAACCAACUAACUAAUAUCACUCAAAUUACCCUAAUUAGUGAAUUACUCUCUCAAAUAAGAGGUUCAGAUGUAGUACUUAGGGAUUGAAUCCACAGAGACUCUAGGAUUACACAAUAGAUUAUGGUCUUGGAAUAAAUCUAGAUUAAACCGUUUAAAGCAGUAAAUGGAUUGGUGAGCAAGUAAAUUGCUCGUUUGAUUUGUUUUGAGGUUGUUAACAGUCGAGGGAAAUAGCUAGACUCAGGUUUAUUCUCAGGUGUGAUAAGUAAAACUUAAUUUGGGUAUUAGGGAUUUACUAAUAUCAAUUAUUCUUGAAUUCAAACAAAGGUAUAAUCAAAUUGAUUAUCAAAUCUGGAUCUCGGAUUUCAACUCUCGUAUGUUAAUCACGAGAAAGUGUCGAUCGAUAAUUCUUUGUGAAUAUCGAUCGAUACACCUUUCAAAAUAUCGAUCGACAGAGCUAUCACUGCGUCGAUCGAUACUUCUUCCAGAAAGCUUUACGGCCUGGUUUGAUCUAAAUUCUCUAACUCACUAGACCAACUCUCGUUCGUAUCUAAUCAUUUAGAUCAUUCUAGUUAUUUUCAGGUAUUGAGUCAAGCAAUGGCUUGAUCCUAAUUAAUCAUAAGAUCUAAGUUUACGAGUGAUCAAUCCUAAACUUAGCUUUAAGCAUAACUAGUUGAAAGAAUCAUAUUUCUAAACACCCUAACAAUUAUUAUUGUCAGUAAUACAUUUAUCAACCUAGUGAGAAACCUAAAUCUAACAGUAAGGACUACUCAGACAUAUUCAUGGAACACAUGGUUAUGAUGGUCUGAAUAAUACUUAAUAAAAAUGAAUAAAUAGAGUAAGCAACAAAUGAAAUAAAGCAAAGGAGUUCAAGAUCUUCUCUGUUUUGCAGUGUUGAUCUCUCUCUCCAGCUCUAAACUAUCUUUCAAUGGUAGCUUCUUGCUUCCUCCAAACUAGGUCUAAAAAGGUCUCUAGGCAAAUCUGCCUCUAAAAUGAUACAAAACCCUAAUAAAUAGCCUAACAGGCGGCCAGAGACUAAUGAUGUAAUUACUAAGACUUUUGUGAAACUUGGAAUCUUCUAAUUUGUUAUUAACUCUCGGGUGGCUUCAUAAUCGAUCGACGUGAAGAUUCCAACAUCAAUCGAUAUUUGGUGAUAACUGUCGGUCGAUACUGAGUUGUGACCGUCGACAAUCCCUUGCUUCCAGCGAAGCUCAAAAGAUCUCCAAAUAGCUCCAAAUACAUCACUUUCUUCCAGAUAGUACCUGAACCUGUAAUUACUCUAAAUAAACUCUAUAUAAUAAUAAUAUAUCUUAAAAUACUCAUAAACCAUGGUUAAAAACGGGUAAAAUCCAUGGUCUAUCAACUCUCCCAGAGUUACUCUUUUGCUUGUCCUCAAGCAAAACACAACAGAGCAGUCUCUCUGAAAGAGGUUUGAAAACAUCAGGAACUCACAUGAUUUAAAACUCAUAAUCAUCACCUCUUUAAUAUUGCAAUCCAUAUCUAAAAGGUUCUAAUCACAAAAGCACUUUAUACCAUAUCCUAGCUUAGCAACCAAAUUCAUCUAGCCAGCAACUUAAACAAAUCUUGUCUUAUAUUCCCCUCUACCAACCUCAUUUCUUAACAUAAAUAAAAGUGCAGGCUUUAUCUUGAGGGUAUCAAUCACAGGAUGCAAGGAUUUUCAAACAAGUAUUUGGACCUGCAGGUAAACAUUAGUUCAUAUCCUCUCUCUCUACUAAUUUUCUCUCUUAGUCAAAAUCUGCUUUUAUUGGCAAGAUUAUUGACUUAGAUUGGACAGGUUUCCAUGAAUCAAGACAUAAUGGUGGUUGCCACCAAGUCCUGUUCACUUCUUUUUGACCUAUAUCCAAGAAUACAUAUGAAUCGAGCCUUGAAGAUUGCGGCCACCAAGUCUCGUUCGAAUUCUUUUUUGUUGGAAUCCUUAUGAAGCAAGCUUUAAUGGUUGUAGCCACCAAGUCCUGUUCGGAUUCCACCUAAUAAAUCUCUAAUAGAUCUAAUAAUAAUAUAUAUAUAUAUAUAAGUUUUUUUUAUCUAUUUAUAUAUUCGAAAAUGGAGAGAGAAAGGGUGAUUAAUCUAUCUACACAAGGCUUUACCUUCCAGACUUGUUUGAAGAAUUCGAUCCCAUGUAUACCACGCCCCAAGACAAGCAGUUGUGUCAAGUUUAGUGUUGGAGGUCAGCUUUGGUUCCUUCAAACAAUCUCAGCAAGUGUGGACAGUUGACAGGUUGAUUCACUUUAAUAUCUUUAGUACUAUGUGCAAUCAGAGAAUUUAAAAUGGUGCUAAAAAAAUGGUUAGAUAACAAGCAAAAAUCUAAUAAGAUCAUUAUCCCCUUCUUGACUCAAUAAAAUUUUUUUGUUUGGAAAUAUAUAUAUUUUUUCAGAAAUUCAUGAAUAAACUAAUAUUAGUAAGUACCUCCCAUAAACAUAAAUUUCACUGUCCCCAGUUAUAUUCAGUCUAAGAUUGGUUAGGGU